rnacentral:rRNA from 1 species
AGUGAACGCUGGCGGUAGGCCUAACACAUGCAAGUCGAACGGCAGCACAGAGGAGCUUGCUCCUUGGGUGGCGAGUGGCGGACGGGUGAGGAAUACAUCGGAAUCUACUCUGUCGUGGGGGAUAACGUAGGGAAACUUACGCUAAUACCGCAUACGACCUACGGGUGAAAGCAGGGGAUCUUCGGACCUUGCGCGAUUGAAUGAGCCGAUGUCGGAUUAGCUAGUUGGCGGGGUAAAGGCCCACCAAGGCGACGAUCCAUAGCUGGUCUGAGAGGAUGAUCAGCCACACUGGAACUGAGACACGGUCCAGACUCCUACGGGAGGCAGCAGUGGGGAAUAUUGGACAAUGGGCGCAAGCCUGAUCCAGCCAUACCGCGUGGGUGAAGAAGGCCUUCGGGUUGUAAAGCCCUUUUGUUGGGAAAGAAAUCCAUCUGGUUAAUACCCGGGUGGGAUGACGGUACCCAAAGAAUAAGCACCGGCUAACUUCGUGCCAGCAGCCGCCGUAA